rnacentral:lncRNA from 1 species
CAUUUCUAAAAAGAGUUAAUUUCAUAUAGAUCUCUACAAAUAUAGUAAAUUAUAAAUAUAUUCCUAUAAAGUUCAACUUUCAUAUGUUGUCCUUACAAAAGUUCUUAUGUUUUUAAAUAUGUCCAUCUGACUUGUUACCGUUAGAAAAUCAUUAGAAAACCGUCCAAAUUUUUAAUUUUGUCACCACAAAUAUAUUUCUCCAAAAAUCAUAAUAGUAUAAUAUAAAGACAUAAAAAUGUCAAAAACUAACCAGGAUUAAAUAUUUAAUCUAUGAUUUACUGAAUUUUUCUAACGAAUUCUAACGGAAGAAAUAUAUUUGAAAAUAUCAUGACUUUUUAAAUAACAACAUAUGAAAGUAAAACUUUAUAUAAAUACAUUUGUCGUUCACUAUAUUUUCAGUGACUUUUAUAAAUUAACCCGUCUUUAAAAAAUCACCAGAUCAUAUAC